CCUACGGGAGGCAGCAGUGAGGAAUAUUGGUCAAUGGCCGCAGGGCUGAACCAGCCAAGUCGCGUGAGGGAUGACGGUCCUAUGGAUUGUAAACCUCUUUUGUCAGGGAGCAAAGGGCGCCACGUGUGGCGUUUUGCGAGUACCUGAAGAAAAAGCAUCGGCUAACUCCGUGCCAGCAGCCGCGGUAAUACGGAGGAUGCGAGCGUUAUCCGGAUUUAUGGGGGUUAAAGGGUGCGCAGGCGGAAUGUCAAGUCAGCGGUAAAAUUUCGGGGCUCAACCCCGUCGUGCCGUUGAAACUGGCGUGCUUGAGUGAGCGAGAAGUAUGCGGAAUGCGUGGUGUAGCGGUGAAAUGCAUAGAUAUCACGCAGAACGCCGAUUGCGAAGGCAGCAUACCGGCGCUCAACUGACGCUCAUGCACGAAAGCGUGGGUAUCGAACAGGAUUAGAUACCCCAGUAGUC
rnacentral:rRNA from 1 species